rnacentral:rRNA from 1 species
UACGUAGGGUGCAAGCGUUGUCCGGAAUUAUUGGGCGUAAAGGGCUCGUAGGCGGCCAACUAAGUCAGACGUGAAAUCCCUCGGCUUAACCGGGGAACUGCGUCUGAUACUGGAUGGCUUGAGAUUGGGAGAGGGAUGCGGAAUUCCAGGUGUAGCGGUGAAAUGCGUAGAUAUCUGGAGGAACACCGGUGGCGAAGGCGGCAUCCUGGACCAACACUGACGCUGAUGAGCGAAAGCCAGGGGAGCAAACGGG